CUCUUAUGGAGAGUUUGAUCCUGGCUCAGGACGAACGCUGGCGGCAUGCCUAAUACAUGCAAGUCGAGCGAACUGUUGGAAGCUUGCUUCCUUCAGUUAGCGGCGGACGGGUGAGUAACACGUGGGCAACCUGCCCU
rnacentral:rRNA from 1 species